rnacentral:rRNA from 1 species
UACGUAGGGCGCAAGCGUUGUCCGGAAUUAUUGGGCGUAAAGAGCUCGUAGGCGGUUUGUCGCGUCUGCUGUGAAAACCUAAGGCUCAACCUUGGGCUUGCAGUGGGUACGGGCAGACUAGAGUGCGGUAGGGGUGACUGGAAUUCCUGGGUGUAGCGGUGGAAUGCGCAGAUAUCAGGAGGAACACCGAUGGCGAAGGCAGCCCCCUGGGCUAACACUGAC